rnacentral:rRNA from 1 species
ACUCAAAUGAAUUGACGGGGGCCCGCACAAGCGGUGGAGCAUGUGGUUUAAUUCGACGCUACGCGCAGAACCUUACCUGGACUAAAUCCAUUUGAAUCUGGCUGAAAGGUUGGAGUGCCCUUCGGGGAACGAAUGAGAAGGUGCUGCAUGGCUGUCGUCAGCUCGUGUCGUGAGAUGUUGGGUUAAGUCCCGCAACGAGCGCAACCCUUAUCGUCUGUUGCCAGCAUUAAGUUGGGAACUCAGGCGAGACUGCCGGCCAAAACCGGAGGAAGGUGGGGAUGACGUCAAGUCCUCAUGGCCCUUAUGUCCAGGGCUACACACGUGCUACAAUGGCGAGUACAAAGAGUUGCGAGACCGCGAGGUGGAGCUAAUCUCAAAAAACUCGUCUCAGUUCGGAUUGGAGUCUGCAACUCGACUCCAUGAAGCUGGAAUCGCUAGUAAUCGGAGAUCAGCACGCUCCGGUGAAUACGUUCCCGGGCCUUGUACACACCGCCCGU